rnacentral:rRNA from 1 species
CCUACGGGAGGCAGCAGUGAGGAAUAUUGGGCAAUGGACGAGAGUCUGAACCAGCCAAGUAGCGUGAAGGAUGACUGCCCUAGGGGUUGUAAACUUCUUUUAUGUGGGAAUAAAAUGUUCCACGUGUGGGAGUUUGUGUGUACCAUAAGAAUAAGGAUGGGCUAACUCCGUGCCAGCAGCCGCGGUAAUACGGAGGAUCCGAGCGUUAUCCGGAUUUACUGGGUUUAAAGGGAGCGUAGGUGGAUUUUUAAGUCAGUUGUGAAAGUUUGCGGCUCAACCGUAAAAUUGCAGUUGAAACUGGCAGUCUUGAGUACAGUAGAGGUGGGCGGAAUUCGUGGUGUAGCGGUGAAAUGCUUAGAUAUCACGAAGAACUCCGAUUGCGAAGGCAGUUCACUGGACUGCAACUGACACUGAGGCUCGAAAGUGUGGGUAUCAAACAGGAUUAGAUACCCCGGUAGUC